GUUAGUCUUAGAAGCUCUCCAAGUCUGGUGAGGUCCUGUACAAAGACCAGUUAAUAUUUUAUGAUUUUUCAUAUACCCGCUCCUCUCUCUCUCUCCCUCGGUUUCUCGUUUUUUCCCCAAAAUUAGACUAGGUUUCUUUCUCCUUCUUUUUCACUCGUCCCCCUUCUUCAGCCCGCAACCCUUAAUUUCUCCACCGAUCGCCUUCUCCAGGGGACCCGUCGUCUCCGACCUCUCAAAAGCCGAUUGAAUCACAUUUUCUUUUGCCCAGCCAAGUCAAGAUAAUUGCUCAGCAUCGGCUUCCUCCAUGAUCCUAGCCGAAGGUUCUUCUUCCUUCACGAUCUACCACUACCGGUAGCAUCUGUUUGGGUAAAUGCCUUGUCUUUUCUUUUUCUUUUUUUAGGAUGAAAUGGUACACGGGAUUUUGUCUAGUAAAUUUUCCAUAGUAUUUUUUUGGGCAUCUAUUGAUAUUAAAGAUGAUUAUUUGUUUUGGCAUAUUGUUCUUGGGUAUGGUUUAUAAUGGCAGCAAUCACGUACUGCUAUUGCUAGCAUUUGCUAAUGUGAUGUUCUUUCUCUAUUGCCUUGGGACAUUGCUAGUGCAAGUCUGAAAGUAACAAUGAUAUUUAGGGGAAACUUGGUUAGUGUAUUGUCUUAGUUUCUCUGUAAUUGUAUGGUCUCUACAAACAUUGCUAUUGUUUGUCUAUUAUUUUUUCUUCAUGGUGUUCUAGAUAGUCUACUAUUGUUUUGGCAUAUUGUUUGUCUAUUGGGAAACUGGACAUUUUUUUUUGGUAAACCUGAUAACUGAUUCAAUAUUUAUUUUGGAAUAUUGUUUGUCUCAGUUGUAGCUAGUGUGCUAACUUAAGUGAUUUUCCAAAUGAAUACAGUAGCUCUUUCUUUAUCAGGAUCUGCCCAAUUCAACAUUUGAAACUUUUGGUAAUUUCCUUUCUUUUUUUUACUUUCAACUUCAUAUUUUUUAAUAAUAUUGAAAGGUAUAGAGGAAUUGAAGGCUAGGAAUGCAUCAAUAUCUUACUUAAAAUACAUACUAGAAGAAGGGAAUUAAUACAUUUAGUAUUAACCAUUAACUACAAUACUAAGUUUUGGGGCGAUAUUAUGAGCUUGAAGAACAUUCAUUCCAAACCAUUGACAGAUCUUAGGGUAAAAUGUUGUCGAUGAUUUAGUUUUGGUUAUUAUCAUACUUUUGGUUCCUUUCUGAUUUGCUAUUUAGUUUUCCUUGUUGAACCAUUUUUCAUAGAUAGCGAAAUACAUUUAUUAAUCAUGAUGAAAAGGUCAUAAGGGCUGAGAAUUAUGUGUGAUAUGAAAUUAUCAACAUGUGGAGGAUAAAUUGGUGCCGGCAUUCUCACAUGUUUUUUGCUUUCAUAAUCUGUAUUCCCAAAUCUCCUUUCAACUUAUUGUAGAAUGCCCCUUACUUGUGUAGAAAAGAUGGCAUUAUUCUUCACUGCCCACAUGUAAGUUAAAGGACUUUCUUUGGUCAUUUCUUUCCUUCAGUUCGCAUGUGUUUGUUGAUUUGUGCAAAAUGUAUAUAUAAUUUCCUAUGUUCUGGGGUUUAUGGGAUAUUUGGAGUAGUGUAUUACUGGGGUUCACAACAGACUGCCAUAACGCCUCAUGUUUUUGGAGCUAAUGAGUGUUCUCUUCUUUUUUGUUUCUUUUCUUUUUCUUUUAGAGAGAUUCUUGAGGUUGGAGAUCUGGUGUGCAUGUUGUUUGCCCUAUACACAGAAAAUCCAUUAUGACGAUAUGUUUCUUUUAUGCAUGGCUUGAGUCUGUAACUCUAUAUGACUGAUCAUGGAGUAAAGAGAUGAGUUGGCUGAAAUAUUUAAUUUGAAACCAGAUUGUGCUUAAUUUGUUCGUGUAGAAAAGAUCUGGAUGCUAUUCUCUCUUCCCUACAUCUGAUACCCUAAUCAAGUUUAGCUCCUCUUUUACUUUUCAGUUAUAUUCCUUUGUAUCCUAGCAGCUUUCUUGGUAGGAUUCAGCAAUAUGAUUGAACAGAUUAGAGCAGCAAAGCCAGCAGCUUUUUUGAGUAUGAACUCUUUGAAGAAGACCCCAACCACCUUAGAACUAUCAAAGCCACACCAACUCAGAUUGGUUCAUGGAUUGAUCCUUCCUCUCUAAAACUUUAGCAUAUUGGCCGGGGCCCCUUUGGUGAUGUUUUCUUAGCAACUCCGCAGAUUGUGUUGGAAAUUUGUAGAUUGUGUUUCUGUUGUGUGUUGCUCAAUAUUGUGUUAGCAAUGUGAUAAUGUAUAUAAUUGCAAAUCUGGACUGCUUUGCUUCAGGAAGUGUAUUUGUCGUGUAUUUAUAUUUGCUUCAAAAAGUGUAUUUGUUGUGUAUUUAUAUUUGCUUCAGGAAGCAUAUUUGUAUAUAUAAUUGAUAAAAUAUAUACUUCUUUGCUUGAGAAA